rnacentral:rRNA from 1 species
UGGGGAAUAUUGGACAAUGGGCGCAAGCCUGAUCCAGCCAUACCGCGUGGGUGAAGAAGGCCUUCGGGUUGUAAAGCCCUUUUGUUGGGAAAGAAAUCCAGCCGGCUAAUACCUGGUUGGGAUGACGGUACCCAAAGAAUAAGCACCGGCUAACUUCGUGCCAGCAGCCGCGGUAAUACGAAGGGUGCAAGCGUUACUCGGAAUUACUGGGCGUAAAGCGUGCGUAGGUGGUCGUUUAAGUCCGUUGUGAAAGCCCUGGGCUCAACCUGGGAACUGCAGUGGAUACUGGGCGACUAGAGUGUGGUAGAGGGUAGCGGAAUUCCUGGUGUAGCAGUGAAAUGCGUAGAGAUCAGGAGGAACAUCCAUGGCGAGGGCAGCUACCUGGACCAACACUGACACUGAGGCACGAAAGCGUGGGGAGCAAACAGGAUUAGAUACCCUGGUAGUCCACGCCCUAAACGAUGCGAACUGGAUGUUGGGUGCAAUUUUGGCACGCAGUAUCGAAGCUAACGCGUUAAGUUCGCCGCCUGGGGAGUACGGUCGCAAGACUGAAACUCAAAGGAAUUGAC